rnacentral:rRNA from 1 species
AGAGUUUGAUCAUGGCUCAGAACGAACGCUGGCGGCAGGCCUAACACAUGCAAGUCGAGCGCCCAGCAAUGGGAGCGGCGGACGGGUGAGUAACACGUGGGAAUAUGCCCUUUGGUUCAGAACAACUCAGGGAAACUUGAGCUAAUACUGGAUGAGCCGGUAACGGGAAAGAUUUAUCGCCAAAGGAUUAGCCCGCGUCCGAUUAGCUAGUUGGUGAGGUAAUGGCUCACCAAGGCACCGAUCGGUAGCUGGUUUGAGAGAACGACCAGCCACACUGGGACUGAGACACGGCCCAGACUCCUACGGGAGGCAGCAGUGGGGAAUCUUGGACAAUGGGGGAAACCCUGAUCCAGCCAUGCCGCGUGAGUGAUGAAGGCCUUCGGGUUGUAAAACUCUUUCGACGGGGACGAUAAUGACGGUACCCGUAGAAGAAGCUCCGGCUAACUUCGUGCCAGCAGCCGCGGUAAUACGAAGGGGGCUAGCGUUGUUCGGAAUUACUGGGCGUAAAGCGCGCGCAGGCGGCCUUCCAAGUCAGGGGUGAAAGCCCGGAGCUCAACUCCGGAAUUGCCUUUGAAACUGUUAGGCUUGAGUACGGGAGAGGUGAGUGGAAUUCCCAGUGUAGAGGUGAAAUUCGUAGAUAUUGGGAAGAACACCGGUGGCGAAGGCGGCUCACUGGCCCGUUUCUGACGCUCAUGCGCGACAGCGUGGGGAUCAAACAGGAUUAGAUACCCUGGUAGUCCACGCCGUAAACGAUGGACGCUAGCCGUUGGCAAGCUUGCUUGUCAGUGGCGCAGCUAACGCAUUAAGCGUCCCGCCUGGGGAGUACGGCCGCAAGGUUGAACUCAAAGGAAUUGACGGGGCCCCGCACAAGCGGUGGAGCAUGUGGUUUAAUUCGACGCACGCCGCAAACCUUACCAGGGU